ACGAACGCUGGCGGCGUGCUUAACACAUGCAAGUCGAACGGAAAGGCCCUGCUUUUGUGGGGUGCUCGAGUGGCGAACGGGUGAGUAACACGUGAGUAACCUGCCCUUGACUUUGGGAUAACUUCAGGAAACUGGGGCUAAUACCGGCUAGGAGCUCCUGCUGCAUGGUGGGGGUUGGAAAGUUUCGGCGGUUGGGGAUGGACUCGCGGCUUAUUAGCUUGUUGGUGGGGUAGUGGCUUACCAAGGCUUUGACGGGUAGCCGGCCUGAGAGGGUGACCGGCCACAUUGGGACUGAGAUACGGCCCAGACUCCUACGGGAGGCAGCAGUGGGGAAUAUUGCACAAUGGGCGGAAGCCUGAUGCAGCAACGCCGCGUGCGGGAUGACGGCCUUCGGGUUGUAAACCGCUUUCGCCUGUGACGAAGCGUGAGUGACGGUAAUGGGUAAAGAAGCACCGGCUAACUACGUG
rnacentral:rRNA from 1 species